GUCUACAGCCAUAACAUCCUGAACGUGCGUGAUCUCAUCUGAUCUCAGAACCUAAGCAGGGUCGGGCCUGAUUAAUACUUAAUUUAGUACUUGCAUGGGAGAUUUAUCUGGAAUACACU
ensembl:rRNA 5S_rRNA 5S ribosomal RNA